UACGUAGGGUCCGAGCGUUGUCCGGAAUUAUUGGGCGUAAAGGGCUCGUAGGCGGUUGGUCACGUCGGGAGUGAAAACUCAGGGCUCAACCCUGAGCGUGCUUCCGAUACGGGCCGACUAGAGGUAUGCAGGGGAGAACGGAAUUCCUGGUGUAGCGGUGGAAUGCGCAGAGUAUCAGGAGGAACACCGGUGGCGAAGGCGGUUCUCUGGGCAAUUCCUGACGCUGAGGCGCGAAAGCGUGGGGAGCAAACGGG
rnacentral:rRNA from 1 species